ACCCAGCUAGAGAGUGUCUGUUUGCAAGCCAGGAGCAGAGCUCUCGGCAGAAACCAACCAUGCUGGCAUCUUCAUCUUGGCAUCUUCAUCUUGGACUUCUAGACUUCAGACUACGGUGAUUUCAUACAGUAUCCUUCACCAGAAUUUGGUUACACAUUGGGGAGCCACUGCUGGUCUUUUAGAAAUGAGAAAACUGAACCCACUAGAGGUCAUAUGCUAAAUGACAGGGCUGAGACCUCUCCACAGCACAUCUGAUAUUGGGAUCGAUGAAGAUCAGAUGUGCAAAUCACAAUGGGCUCCGGAAAGCCCUAGACUGUGUCAUUCAAGGAAGCUGUGACUCGGCCUGAAGGAUUUCUGUGGUCAACGGAACGUGCCCAGCUCAUGUGUAGAGCAGGAGGAAGUGUUCCUGCUCCAGAAUUCCCCAGAAACAAAGCAACCUUCAAGCAAUGACAUCUGAAAGUUGAAGGACAGAUACUUCAGCUCUGUCAGUAUGUUGUAUGGGACAACUCAGUCCCUACAUAGUCUAAGGGGUCCGGCAUGACUCAUCUCCUACAGCAAUAAAUAACCUGCUAAUAGACGCAUCUGAUUGGCAUCCUUCCUUUCUCUCCCUCGCAUUCCCACAUCCCUAAAGGUA